GAUAAGAUAACUCCAAGGGGAAACUCAAUUCAUUACAAGAGGGAGAGGGGGAAGAACAUCAUAAGAUCCAACUAUAGUACCAAAGCCCAUGGUACAUCGAGAUCAAGACAUCUCAAGAACACGAGAGAGAGAGAGAGAUCAAACACAUAGCUAAUGGUACAUACCCUCAGCCCCGAGGGAGAACUACUCCCUCCUCGUCAUGGAGAUCGCCGGGAUGAUGAAGAUGGCCACCGGAGAUGGAUUCCCCCUCCGGCAGGGUGCCGGAACGGGCUCCAAAUUGGUUUUUGGUGGCUACAGAGGCUUGCGGCGGUGGAACUCCCGAUUUAGGUUUCUUUUUUGGGGUUUCUAAAUUGAUCGGAAUUUAUGGCGGUGGAAUUACGUCGGUUGGGCCCACGAGGAGGUCACAAGCCCGCCUUGCGCCACCUAGGGGGUGGCGGCGUUAGGGCUUGUGACUCCCUCAUGGCUCUUCUCGCCUUCUUCCAAAGCUUCGGGGUUCUCUUUUGGUACAAAAAAAUCAUCGUAAAGUUUCAUUCCAUUUGGACUCCGUCUGAAAAUGGGCCAAAAACACGAAAAAAAACAGAAACUGGCACUUGGCACUGAGUUAAUAGGUUAGUCCCAAAAAAGAUAUAAAAGGUACAUAAAACAUCAAAAGAUGACAAGAUAACAGCAUGAAACCAUAAAAAAUUAUAGAUACGUUUGAGACGUAUUAGGCACUGUCUAGAGUUUUACUAGCAUAGUGAAUAACAUUCAACUUCUUAUCAACUCUUUGCCCUAGGACAACACCAACAGCAUAAUCACUAGCAUCACACAUGAUUUAAAAAGGUAAGUUCCAAUCAGGUGGUUGAACAAUAGGUGCAGUUAUCAAAGCCUUCUUAAGUAUUUCGAAGGCUUCCUCACAAUCAUCGUCAAAGACAAAAGGAAUAUCCUUUUGCAAGAGAUUGGUAAGAGGCCUAGAAAUCUUAGAGAAGUCUUUAAUGAACCUUCUAUAGAAACCAGCAUGACCAAGGAAACUUCUUAUACCUUUGAUAUUUGUGGGGUGUGGCAUUUUCUCGAUUGCAUCAACCUUAGCCUUAUCGACUUCAAUACCUCUUUCAGAAAUUUUAUGUCCUAACACGAUGCCUUCAGUAACCAUAAAGUGGCACUUCUCCCAAAUCAAGACAAGAUUGGUGUCUUUACAUCUCUACAAGACCCGAUCAAGGUUGCUGAGGCAAUCAUCAAAAGAAGACUCGUAAAAGAAGAAGUCAUCCAUGAAAACCUCAACAAUCUUUUCACAAAAGUCAGAGAAUAUAGACAUCAUACAUCUUUGAAAGGUGGCAGGUGCAUUACAUAAGCUAAAAGUCAUACGUCUAUAAGCAAAGGUACCAAAAGGGCAUGUGAAAGUGGUUUUCUCCUGAUCAGAUUGUGCAACUGGUAUUUGGGAGAAACCAGAAUAACCGUCUAGAAAGCAGAAGUGUGUGUGUUUAGUGAUGUUUGCUGUGUAUCCCUUGCAACGGCGCUAGAAAUAGUUGUGUCGACGGCACCAGGAAUCCUUCAGCUAUGGCUACGCCUUAAGGGACUUCCUAGGCAAGUAUGCAAAGGAUUUCCCCCGUGGCCUUGGAGCCUUGCGUUUGUGUUCCCUCGAAGGGGAAAGGGUGAUGUAGCACAGCGACGGUAAGUAUUUCCCUCAGUUUGAGAACCAAGGUAUCAAUCCGGCGGAAGAGUAUCUCAAGAUCCUACACAAACACAAAAUCUUGCACCCAAUGCUAUGAAGGGGUUGUCAAUCCCUUAUAGAUUGUUUGCCAAGUGAGAACUGAAAGCAACAAAGUAACAAAGCAAAGUAAAAGCGGAGAUGUAAACGAUGGAUGUGAAUAGACCCGAGGGCCGUAGUGUUUACUAGUGGCUUCUCUCAUGAAAGCAAGUAGACGGUGGGUGAACAAAUUACUGUCGAGCAAUUGAUAGAACUGUGCAGAGUCGUGACGAUAUCUAUGCAAUGAUUAUUUAUAUAGGCAUCACGUCUGAAACAAGUAGACAGAUACUUUCUGCAUCUACUACUAUUACUCCACACGUCGACCGCUAUCCAGCAUGCAUCUAGUGUAUUAAAUCCAUAAGAACAGAGUAACGCCUUAAGGAAGAUGACAUGAUGUAGAGGGAUAAUCUCAAACCAAUGAUAAAAACCCCAUCUUUUUACCCUUAAUGGCAACUGCUUGAUGUGUGCCUUGCUGCCCCUACUGUCACUGGGAAAGGUCACCACAUGGCAGAACCCAAAACCAAGCACUUCUCCAAUUGCAAGAAUCAUAGAUCUAGUUGGCCAAACAAAACCCAAGACUCCGAGAGACUUACAAGGAUAUCAAAUCAUGCAUAUAAGAAAUCAGCAAAGACUCAAAUAUAUAUCAUAGAUAAUCUGAUCACAAGUCCACAAUUCAUCGGAUCUCGACAAAUACACCGCCAAAGAAGAUUACAUCGGAUAGAUCUCCAUGAAGAUCAUGGAGA
rnacentral:lncRNA from 1 species